rnacentral:rRNA from 1 species
ACACGGGAAAACUCACCCGGCCCGGACACCGUAAGGAUUGACAGAUUGAGAGCUCUUUCUUGAUUCGGUGGUUGGUGGUGCAUGGCCGUUCUUAGUUGGUGGAGCGAUUUGUCUGGUUUAUUCCGAUAACGAACGAGACUCUGGCCUACUAAAUAGAGACGGAAUUAUUACUGUUCCGGAUUCUUCUUAGAGGGACAAGUGGUUUUCAGCCACACGAAAUUGAGCAAUAACAGGUCUGUGAUGCCCUUAGAUGUCCGGGGCUGCACAAACGCUACACUGAAGGAAUCAGCGUGCUAAAACCAUUGUCGAAAGGCAUUGGUAAACCCAUCAAAAUCCUACGUGAUUGGGAUCGGGAAUUGCAAUUAUUUCCCUUGAACGAGGAAUUCCCAGUAAGUGCGGGUCAUAAGCUCGCGUUGAUUACGUCCCUGCCCUUUGUACACACCGCCCGUCGCUGCCCGGGACUGAGCCGUUUCGAGAAAAGCGGGGACCGCCGCCUUCGGGGCUUUCGGGCCUUGGCUGUGGUGGAAACCGCUUUAAUCGCAGUGGCUUGAACCGGGCAAAAGUCGUAACAAGGUUUCCGUAGGUGAACCUGCGGAAGGAUC